rnacentral:rRNA from 1 species
GGCCUAACACAUGCAAGUCGAGCGGCAGCGCGGGGGCAACCCUGGCGGCGAGCGGCGAACGGGUGAGUAAUGCAUCGGAACGUGUCCUCUUGUGGGGGAUAACCAGUCGAAAGACUGGCUAAUACCGCAUGAGCUCGAGAGAGGAAAGCAGGGGAUCCGCAAGGACCUUGCGCGAGAGGAGCGGCCGAUGCCCGAUUAGCUAGUUGGUGGGGUAACGGCCUACCAAGGCGACGAUCGGUAGCUGGUCUGAGAGGACGACCAGCCACACUGGGACUGAGACACGGCCCAGACUCCUACGGGAGGCAGCAGUGGGGAAUUUUGGACAAUGGGGGCAACCCUGAUCCAGCCAUGCCGCGUGUGUGAAGAAGGCCUUCGGGUUGUAAAGCACUUUCGGCCGGAACGAAAUCGCGCGAGUUAACACCCCGCGUGGAUGACGGUACCGGAAGAGGA